rnacentral:rRNA from 1 species
GACAGCAGUAGCCGCGGUAAUACGUAGGGUGCGAGCGUUAAUCGGAAUUACUGGGCGUAAAGCGUGCGCAGGCGGUUAUAUAAGACAGAUGUGAAAUCCCCGGGCUCAACCUGGGACCUGCAUUUGUGACUGUAUAGCUAGAGUACGGUAGAGGGGGAUGGAAUUCCGCGUGUAGCAGUGAAAUGCGUAGAUAUGCGGAGGAACACCGAUGGCGAAGGCAAUCCCCUGGACCUGUACUGACGCUCAUGCACGAAAGCGUGGGGAGCAAACAGGAUUAGAUACCCCAGUAGUCCCUGUCUCUUAUAC